rnacentral:rRNA from 1 species
UUACGGGAGGCAGCAGUGAGGAAUCUUCCGCAAUGGACGAAAGUCUGACGGAGCAACGCCGCGUGAGUGAUGAAGGCUUUCGGGUCGUAAAACUCUGUUGUUAGGGAAGAACAAGUACGAGAGUAACUGCUCGUACCUUGACGGUACCUAACCAGAAAGCCACGGCUAACUACGUGCCAGCAGCCGCGGUAAUACGUAGGUGGCAAGCGUUAUCCGGAAUUAUUGGGCGUAAAGCGCGCGCAGGCGGUUUCUUAAGUCUGAUGUGAAAGCCCACGGCUCAACCGUGGAGGGUCAUUGGAAACUGGGGAACUUGAGUGCAGAAGAGAAAAGCGGAAUUCCACGUGUAGCGGUGAAAUGCGUAGAGAUGUGGAGGAACACCAGUGGCGAAGGCGGCUUUUUGGUCUGUAACUGACGCUGAGGCGCGAAAGCGUGGGGAGCAAACAGGAUUAGAAACCCGGGUAGUCC